AUUGAACGCUGGCGGCAUGCUUUACACAUGCAAGUCGAACGGUAACAGGCCUUCGGGUGCUGACGAGUAGCGAACGGGUGAGUAAUGCAUCGGAACGUGCCCAGAGGUGGGGGAUAACGCAGCGAAAGCUGUGCUAAUACCGCAUGUGAUCUGAGGAUGAAAGCGGGGGACCAGGCAGCAAUGUUUGGCCUCGCGCCUUUGGAGCGGCCGAUGUCAGAUUAGGUAGUUGGUGGGGUAAAGGCCUACCAAGCCGACGAUCUGUAGCUGGUCUGAGAGGACGACCAGCCACACUGGGACUGAGACACGGCCCAGACUCCUACGGGAGGCAGCAGUGGGGAAUUUUGGACAAUGGGCGCAAGCCUGAUCCAGCAAUGCCGCGUGCGGGAAGAAGGCCUUCGGGUUGUAAACCGCUUUUGUACGGAACGAAAAGGCUCUGGCUAAUACCUGGGGCUGAUGACGGUACCGUAAGAAUAAGCACCGGCUAACUACGUG
rnacentral:rRNA from 1 species